UGCGCAUCACCUCUUGCUUGUCUAGAUCAGCCCGGACGUUGGCAUGUGUAGCGUAUUUUGUCGGGUUUCGAGAUCAAGAAUCGAUGUCCCUUUGUUGGUUGGUUUUCCGAGAAUCCUUGACCCUUGAUUUGUUACUUUCGCAUCGUUUGGUGCAUGUUUUCCGAGAAUCCUUGACCCUUGAUUUGUUGCUUUCGCAUCGUUCGGUGCAUGUUUUCCGAGAAUCCUUGACCCUUGAUUUGUUACUUUCGCAUCGUUCGGUGCAUUCUGGGGGAUGUUUUGGCUUUUGGUGGCUUACUUGGCCUUUUGGCUGGGUUUGUUGCUAUUGGUCGGGCGGCUUUCGGGAAUGUCGACCGUGGAGGUGCAUGAGUGGUGUUUGGUUUGUUACGUGUGGAUGGCUGUUUGCUUGCGCAACAACGUUCACGCUGCAUACCUCUUCAGUUUUGCGGCAAGGCUUGGUUUGGCUUGUGCAUAUUGUGGGUUUCCUGUGUUGCAUACCUAGUUGAAGGAAAAGUGUGGGUUUUACGAUUUUCAUUUUCGUCUUGCGUCGUUCUUUCGGCAUGGGAUGAGCAAUGAAGCGAUCUUUAUGAUCCAUCGUGCUGUUGUGUUUGCAACAAUGAUGUGGCCUAUGAAGCAUCGUUUGGUCUCUUGUAUACGGAAGCUCAUUUGGGCUUGGGUCUUCAUAAGAUCUUCGUUAUGCCCUUGUUAAGCGUUCUCGCUUCUCCUAAACGAUUG
rnacentral:misc_RNA from 1 species